rnacentral:rRNA from 1 species
UACGUAGGAUGCAAGCGUUGUCCGGAAUUAUUGGGCGUAAAGAGCUCGUAGGCGGUUCGUCGCGUCGGCUGUGAAAUCCCCGAGGCUCAACCUCGGGUCUGCAGUCGAUACGGGCGGACUGGAGUACUGCAGGGGAGACUGGAAUUCCUGGUGUAGCGGUGAAAUGCGCAGAUAUCAGGAGGAACACCUGUGGCGAAGGCGGGUCUCUGGGCCGAUACUGACGCUGAGGAGCGAAAGCGUGGGGAGCGAACAGG